rnacentral:rRNA from 1 species
GACGAACGCUGGCGGCGUGCUUAACACAUGCAAGUCGAACGGAAAGGCCCCUUUGGGGGUACUCGAGUGGCGAACGGGUGAGUAACACGUGAGUAACCUGCCCUUGACUUCGGGAUAACUUCAGGAAACUGGGGCUAAUACCGGAUAGGAAUCCUUGCUGCAUGGUGGGGGUUGGAAGGCUUCGGCGGUUUUGGAUGGACUCGCGGCUUAUCAGCUUGUUGGUGGGGUAGUGGCUUACCAAGGCUUUGACGGGUAGCCGGCCUGAGAGGGCGACCGGCCACAUUGGGACUGAGAUACGGCCCAGACUCCUACGGGAGGCAGCAGUGGGGAAUAUUGCACAAUGGGCGGAAGCCUGAUGCAGCAACGCCGCGUGCGGGAUGACGGCCUUCGGGUUGUAAACCGCUUUCAGCAGGGGCGAAGCUUUUGUGACGGUACCUGCAGAAGAAGCACCGGCUAACUACGUG